CCUGCUAGAAGUAUGGAGCCUGGAGGGAGGUCAGGACAUGCUAGCUGUAGCAGACAAUCAGUGUCUGUUGAGAGAUGAGAUAGUGGGGCUCUUCUUGGGAAGGGGAGGAUCAUUGUACAGACCAUUUGCUUACCUGCUGACUUGGAAAGAGUGGUAAGAUUCCCUGAGGAUUUGUAAAAGGACAGCUUAGCCUCCAUCUUGGAUACCCUUCUCUUCAGAUGAUUUAGUGCCCUUUCAGCCUUUUUCAAAUCAAGGAGGAGAAAGGUCAGGACAGUUAGUCAUGUGACAGCCAUAAUCUGCCUAGCAACUGCAGGUUAUUUAGUGAGUGGCACACCUGUCACUCAGGGCUGUCCAUCUGAGUGGAGCCAGUGUCCCACACAGUUCAGCUAGCUGCCAGGAGCCCCAGAGGGACCAGGACUCAUAGGACUUUAAAUGCUUGGUCUCUAUUAACAUACUUGGACUCAACUGCUACACACCAUUAGUGAGCGCAUGCUUGCACUGGACUACGAGGUCAAGCAGAGACUGUGUGGGCAAGCACUGAAGACCUACCUGAGGGAGAAGAUCUACCCAAGAGGGAGAAGACCUGCCCCGAGGACCUGCCAAGAAGGAGAAGAAUACCCCGUUCCUGUCUGGUGUCCAGCACCCCUGAUUUUCACCACUAUCUCUGUCGGUAUCCUGAGGUUUUGUCAUUGUGUCCCUGUCUUCAGGAUAUAGUACUGUAAUACCCAUUGUGGUUUCCUCUGUUUUACAUCCAUAGGUUAAGGGGGUUUAAGGGCUCUGAGCUUCACUCUCUGGUAACUGUUAACA